UGCUCUUUUUCUUUUUCUUUAAUCAAACUUUGGUGGGGUUUCUUUGUUAACCGUGUAAAGAGAAGCCAUGUUUGUCACUGUGGGAUGCAGGCAGGCACCUGCACUGGGCACCAGCCAACAUAUGCUUCUCAUCAGCGCCGAAACUUGGCAGCUCGUAUCCUGAGAAAGUGCUCGGUUGUUGUAGUUGGACAUGACUCCUACAUCCGUCAGCUUUAAAACUGUGGCGUGAAAGAAGAGCCUGCAGUGGCUUUGAAAUGUUCUGAUGCUCUUACAAGUCUCACGGUCUUACAGUACAAGAAGAAAAACGCCAAAUAAGGCAAGAAAUUAGUCAUUUAUCUUUAUUUUUUUUAACCUGUUUAGGCCAUGAUCAAAUGAUUGAUACGUCCCCUACAUAAAGGGGACGGAUCACGUGCAAAAUUCAUAUUUUGCAUGUGUUUGUACUUCCAUUUGGGUGUCAACCACUUCUAGAAACAACCCAAGUGCUU